ACAUACAUAGAUAUGUGAGAAUAAACAUCAGAUGAUGUGUGGCAGUUGGCACAUCGUACUGGCUGUCGGUUUUCGUGGUCGCGUGUUUUAACCUCGUUCAUGGCAAAUAUUUUUAUAGGUCACAUAUAGAUAGUCAUGAGAUGUUUGAUAUGGUUUGUGUAUUGUGUGUGUUGUGUCGGGGUCCAGACCGCCAACGUGGUUGUAAAUCCUACCCAGGAACCGUUAAAUGAGAAUCCAAACCAAAUAGCCUUACGACAAGAAAUCGAUGAGAAGACAAUCAAUUUAGACUUCUGGGUCAAGCUGUUGUUCGUACAUUCUGAUGGAAAAAAAGUUUUUGUCAGCUUCGACACCCGACUGGAGUGAACUCCUGAAGAACUUAUUUAAAAGUUAAAAUGUCAUAUUAAAUGAAUCCUAUUAUUAAUAAAAAAAUUGAUAUACAAAA